rnacentral:piRNA from 3 species
UGCAAGACUCGAAUGGCGAGGAAGG